rfam:Rattus norvegicus chromosome 19, whole genome shotgun sequence.
GGAUUUAGCUCAGUGGUAGAGCGCUUGCCUAGCAAGCGCAAGGCCCUGGGUUCGGUCCCCAGAUCCG